CAUUCUCUCACCUGUUGAUGGGUCAAAUUUUGAAGCUGUGACUCAGUCUGAACUUUCAGUGGCUUUUGCACCUGGUGAUUUAAAUAUCUGUCUGCACGGGAGGUGAACGCCAAGCGGCAUCCCUAGCUGCAGCUCCGUACCAGGUUACCUUCCCCUUUCUCCCCUCCAGCUGUUUACUAUUUCCCUCCCACCUCCACCCUGACUCAGAAGAAUGGGACACGAAUGCUCCCACCUCACCCACUCCAGUACAAUGCUUGGCAGCUGCCGGGGAAAAAGAGUUUGGGUGAAGCUGCCAGGCUUUGCCCAGGAGCCAUGGGGGAGAGCACGAGAGCUGUUCCACCAACGCAGCUGCCGGCAGCAGGAGCCUCCGGCACGAGGGAGCAGACGAGCCAGCUGCUGGGGGUGCUGAUAACAUCUGGACCCACCCGACGAGAGCGCAUCUCCCCGUGCUGAACGUGGUGAAGGCUCACACCAGCCUCUGCUCAUCGCCUGCCCUGAAUCCCUUUGGUGAAACUCGUUGGCAUCGGAGGAACUGGGUCUGGAGGAGCUCAGCCCUGCUGGUGUCGGUGUGGGGCUCGGAGGUGCGGUGGGUGGCAGAGCUCCUCUGGAGCCCCCCAGCCCCUCCUCAGCAGGAGGCAGGCUUCCUUUCUCUGCUCUGCGCACUGUCCAAUCCCAAGGCUGUUCCUGUGGGUCAGCAUUGCCCAUGAUGGGUUUGGUCUCCAUGCCGUGGUCCAACAGCCAGCCUACUCCGAGCGUGCUGCUGCUGGAGCUGUGCCUUUUUUUCUCCAUCAUGUGAGUAAAGUUUCUGCGAGUCUGUUCUGG
rnacentral:lncRNA from 1 species